AAGAAGCUUCAUUCUUGGGCUUUAGGGAGAAUUUUUCAUCCCACUUCAUCCCUGAAAUAUGUUCCUCCCCUGGGUCUCUGUCCUUACACUACUUCCGGUUCUGGAAGGGGCUAAUGGAGAGUCCGUGACACAGCCUGAUGACCGAGUGACUGUAUCCCAAGGGGAGCCAGUGCUGCUGAAAUGCGCCUAUGACACUUCCUAUGUGCCUACACUCUGGUGGUACGAGCACUACGCGAAUGAAGCCCCUCGCCUCUUGCUGGGAGACUAUGAAGCAUCGGGUGAGGAGGAGAGAAGGAGCCGGCGAGGGUUCUCCGCCACACCCGACAAACAGGGGAAUACCUUCCACCUGGAGAAAAACUCCAGUGAACUGCGCGACUCCGCCGUCUAUUACUGCGCCAUGAGCGACACGGUGAUUGCGCCCAGCAGGGUCGCUGCACAAAAGCCCGCUGACGGAAGAUGAGGAGACACAAAGAUUUUGUGGUUUAGCUGCCCAAAUGGUUUUAAUCUGCGUAGCAACUAUGGUGUGAACGGUCCAGAUUCCAGAUGGUGUUAAUCUGCCCAUGUCCCCUGGAGUCAAUGGCGCAGAUCCCACGUUGGCGCUAACUGGUCAUAGCUGCGCUAAAAAAUGGUCCAGUUCCUCAUUUGUUUUGAAGCAGUGAACGUCCUAGGAAUCAUUUGAGCUACUCCAGUUUACAGCAGCAGAGGCUCUGACCCGUUACAUAUCUAUGGGAUUGUGAAACUAAAAAUGCAACGUGUUACUUUUCCCCAACAGGAUACCUAAAAAUGCAAAUCCUGUCAUUAAUUUUUCCAAAAUUAGUUCCUCUUGUAGCUCCCCAGGUGUCUCUUGUGUGAAGGUUUUAGAAAUGGAAUGAGGUAGAAAUUGGGAAGGUAGGAACAUUGGAAUUACCAGACUCUAUCAGAACAGAGGGCCAUCCGGUUCAAUGUUCGCUCUUUAAUUGUAUCUGCUCCCAGAUGCUUCUGAGGAAGGGACGAGACAAGACACCUGGCACUGGGUAAUUAUGGGAUAAUCUCUGAUAGGGAAGUUUUUCCCCUAAUCCUGGACGAAUGUCAAUUUGUUUGAGACUGCAGAGUUUCAUCCACCUUGAAAUUGUAUCAAGUAGCAGAGG